CGGAAUCAGCACUGGCCAAGCCGUGGUUUACGGACCCGGUUUACAAUGAUCAAUGGAGCUAUGGAAACAGGAGACACCGCGCUGGAGCCUGCUGGCCUCCCAUCUGGAGCCUCGCAGGCACUGAAGACAGCAGCAGCUGGGGGUGUAUUUCGAAGGCGAGGGAUGACUAGCAAGUAUGAGCCAGAUGAGACCUCUGGGGUGACCUGGAAUUACAGAGGCCACUCAUUCUCGGAAUAGGGUUAUGAAAACUAUAAUAUUGUAGAGAUGAAAAGGACCUGUGAAGACCACCUGAUCUGUCAACUUUCUCAAAAGACCACACCUACAUGUAGACAAGUAGGUGUGUGACCUUAAAAACUUUAGGCUCUCAGAACUUCCGGUGUCUCACUAUAUCAUGAAAGGAAGUUCUUCCUUUUGUGUGACCUAUAUAGUACAUGUUGCGGGCAAGUCCCUCUCAUUCCUGGAAGCUCGCUCAUUGAUGCUGGAAAGGCGUCUCCCCACAGCUUUGGAUAGAUGUCUAGAACCCUCCCUUCAUUGGAGCAGUAGGUGCAGGGGAAAAUUGGAUGUGCUGGAAGAGAGAAGUUGGCAUGUGGACCAGCCUGGUACCUGCACCUGACCCCCACCAUCAAUUUUGCACCCCCUUUCAUAUCCACAAACAUUGACUGAGCACCAGUUAAGGUCAAGUAUUGUACUGGGCAUAGGAAUGCUCAGAGGACCCUGAUGGACCUUGAGUGCCUUGAGAAGUUACAUAUAUAUAUAUAUUUACAUGUAUAUGUAAAUGGUGACGGUUAUGUAUAUACAUAACAUAAAAUGUAUCAUUUUAACUAUUAACUAGUUCAGAGGCAUUAAGUACACUCACAUUGUUGUGCAGCCAUCACCACCAUCCAUCUCCAGAAAUUUUCAUCUUCCUAAAUUAGUUCUCUGAAGUCAUUAAAUAAUAACUCCCCACUCCCAUCCUCCUCCCAGCCCCUGGCAACCACCAUUCUACUUUCUGUCUCUAUGGAUUUGACUACUCUAGGAAACUCAUAUAAGUGAAAUCAUACAGUAUUUGUCUUUUUAUGACUGGCUUGUUUUACUUAGCAUGAUGUAUUUAAGGUUCAUUCAUGUUGUAGCAUGUAUCAGAAUUUCCUUUUUUUUAAGGCUGUACCAUUUUAUAUAUAUAUAUACCACCUUUUAUUUAUUCACUCAUCCCUCUUGAUGGACACUUGGUUUGCUUUCACCCUUUGGCUAUUGUGAAUAAUGAUGCUAUGAACAUGGGUGUACAAAUAUCUGUUUGAGCCCCUGCUUACAAUUCUUUUAGCUAUAUACCCAGAAGUUGAAUUGCUGCAUCCUAUGCUAAUUCUAUGUAAAAUUCUUUAGGACCUGCCAUGUUAUUUUCCAUAGCAGCUGCAUCACUUUACAUUCCCAUCAGCAAUGCAUAAGAGUUCCAAUUUCUCCACUUAGCUAACACUUGUUAUUUUCUAGGUUUUUUGGGUUUUGUUUUUGGUAAUAGCCGUCCUAAUGGGUGUGGCCUUGAGAGGGUUUAAGUAUGGGUCUUCAGGGCUCACAAACAAGAGAGAGUCAUCUAGAAAGUUCUCACCAAAGAAAUGACAUUUGACCUAGGGAUCUAAAUAUGGGCAAGAAUUCUCCAGGCAGAGGAGGAGAAAGGGGUAACACUAAACAAUAGAGCAAAGGGAGACGAGAAAUUGCACAGCCUGUUUAGGAGCAGCAGGUGGUCAGCACAGGCUGGAAUGUAGGGUGUGCAGGGGAGAGUGUCAAGAUGUGAGGCGAAAAGCAGAUUUAAGGGCUAGACAUUCCACUAAGGUUUUGGACUUUGGGCAACAGGGAGCCAUUGGUAAUACUAUGUGAAAGUGCUGUGCAAACUUCAACACAUGAUAUAAAUGCAAGAACUUAGAACAAAAAAGAAAGAAGUGUUUUUAAAGAAAAAAAUGGGGACUCACCUGUGGUUAAGAAUCCACCUGUCAAUAUGCAGGGGACACGGGUUUGAGCCCUGGUCCGGGAAGAUCUCACAUGCUGCAAAGCAACUAAGCCCGUGCUCCACAACUACUGAGCCCGCGUGCUGCAACUACAGAAGCCCGAGCGCCUAUAGCCCGUGCUCCGCAGCAAGAGAAGCCACCGCAAUGAGAAGCCCACACACGCACCACAACGAAGAGUAGCCCCCGCUCACCGCAACUAGAGAAAGCCCACGCGCAGCAACAAAGA